GUACUUAGCGAUAUUCAUUCUUUCCUUCCAAAUAAAAAAAAAUUAGUCUAAGUUUUUUAUCCUGUUUAAAAAGUUAGAAACUCCAAAACCUCAUUAGAAAAACCAUUCUUAAAGAUGAAAACAAAUCCUCUAUGAUUGCACUUGACUCUUAAUCUAUCAUAUAAGAAAAGUCUACCAUUUAGACAAUUCUUAGGCUAUCCACAUCAGCUUCUGUUCCCUCGAUAAUCCACAUCAGCUUUCUCCAAAUUAUGCUCUUCUUCCACUAUAAUUCGACAGUUACAUCCUUUGUUAUUCAAUUUCCACUCUCUUCCGUUACAUCCUUUGUUAUUCAAUUUCCACUCUCUUCAUAACUGCCCUUAAAUCCAUUCUCUUCCAAAUUUCAAAACCGUUCCGAAAAAUUGUUAGUGCAACCCCAUUCUUCUUCUUCUUUCACGAUCCAUUUUCACCAAAUUACUUUUCAAUUUCUCUUUACAAUGGCUUAGUAUCAAAACAACAUAUUCAAACUUUAAUUGCAGUAAUGACAAAACUUACCACACAAAUGGAGAGCUGUAUGCGCGAAUCGGAGGGAUUCCGAUUGAAGAUUUUCGUUGGGCUGUAUGUACGUGACGUUAGUUUUGGGUGGAUCGCGGCCGUAGCCGCUGAUGAUGGUGGUGGUCUAUGUGGGUUAUCACUGUUUGAAGCGGCGUGUUGUGGAGGUUACGCCCGGUGUUUCAGUAGAACUCAUUGUAUAUAUGAUAAUUUUUUAUAUUUUCUUUAUUCUCUUUAUUCCAUUAUAUUUGUAUUUUUGAUUUGGUAUGUAUUGACUCUUCCACUUCAACGGGCUAUCCUACCUCCUGUAUUAAUUUUUACAAAUAAGCAUCUGAUACUAAUUCCUUCCCAUACAUGAUCAAUUGUCAGGUUUUGCAGUUGCUGAGUGACCCAAAUCUUGCUGGUAGGGAAACUGCUAUUUUGUGCAUUGAGGGGUCCCCAAGUUGAAUCAAUCAGAGUUGGAGACAACAUGUGAAGAUUUCAGCAAUAUCAUUAAUAAUUUUGAGAAGUGCACCAUAUGUAAAGGAACAAUGUCCAAUGGAGUCAAGAUUUCUAUUGAUUAUACUAUUGUUACUUCUACCGAGAAUUGGUCAAAGAACAUGGAGAUAGCCUGCAGAAGAAAGAUUUUCUUCCUUAUGUCAAUGGAAAUGGAAACACUGAGAGUUUCAAUUCAAUUGAUAGAUAGACUUUCAUGUUUCAAACUUAAUUGUUUAGCUAACUUAUUUCCUUACAUACAUGCUUUCAGAUUGUUGCUCUAUCCUGUGUUAGCCAUAAGAACUUUGCCAAUCUUAUUCGUUAUUAUGAAGAAGACAGACCAUUCACAAGGACGGUGGUGUUUGAGUAUACUCCGAACGAAAGCUUAUAUGAGCAUCUACUUGCAACCGGAAAACUCGGGAAAGCAUUUCGAGUAAACCUUUCAGCAGGAGCUGGUCUUUCUGUGGACUGUGGAUAUUUAGUAGAUCCUUCUAUUCUUGUGCAGACCAUAUUCUUACACUGGAUGGCAGUAUAUUGCAGAAGGACUUAGCAAAUAUAUUUGUCUUCUCAUCCUAAUUGCUUGCACUUGAUGAACGCUUUUGGUUUGUGCAAUUAGCUCCAAUUACUAUCAUAUUCUCUGACAGUCUCGAGUAUGCAUUAAAACAAAUGCUCAUUCAUGAGUUUGAAGUGGUUCCUUUUUCCAUCAAGUUAAAAAGAAAAUAAAUUUUGACGAGAGAUAUGAAAUGAUGCAAGCUUAGCUUAGACGGCAUCUCUACUAUUUUGAUUGUGUUCUACUUUGAUUCAAUUCAGGGUACAACUUUGUAUUAGCAGGAUUGCUUGCUUCCCUUAAAUUAAUCGGAGGAACCUUAGCUGAUCACACAUUCUCCGUAAGUGAAAUUCUUACUUCUAUAUUUUGGUUAUUGAAGGCUGGAACUGGUAUAGCAGAGUUGAUAGCUUUUGAGAUUUCUAAGCAGGUAUAACUUGGUUUUAAUACUUAAUUGUUUAUUUCUAAACGUAUUCUUUUAUCUCAAGUAGUUAAAUUAAAUUCUAUCAUUUUGGCCACACAAAAGCCCCGGUCGAAGAGACUUGCAAGAAGAUUUGGAUUGUGGACUCCAAGCUUUUAUUAUCCCCUUUCUUCGUUAAGGCUUUUGUGCUGAAUCCGGUUUAGUAAGCAACUCGGUUCGGUUUGUUUUGAAUUCAUGCGUAGCUUCUGGGCUUAUUCUUGGUUCUGCACUGCUGUCUAAUUGUUGCAGGCAGAGGGAAUUUUUGUGAGUCCGUAUGGUCUGAGGAAAGCCCUGGAGAAUGUAACUGUUCCAAACGGCAAUUCAUCGGAGGAUAAAUUAUCACUGGGCCAAGUUAACAAGUUCGAUAUUUUCUCUGUCCAACUCUUCAAAGAAUUUUGUAGUAAAUGGUAAUAUUAUAAGAUUUGUUAUAGACUUGAAUUAAGAAGCUUGAUGUCAAACACAGUAGAUACAAAGAACAGAUCAAGAAAGCAAGGUAUGGUCCUACUCUCGAAGCUAUUAAAUCUAGAGCCAUGCGAUUUCUUAAACAAAAGAGAAUGUGAGUCGAUUGUUCUUUGUUUUCUUAGUUUAUUUGUCGUUGUUGAGUUGUCACAUUGUACACACACUAACAAUACUUUGAGUUUUUACUUUAAAUACGCUCAACUACUUUAUCAUGCAGCUAAUAAUCUUCCUUAGCUCAAUACAUUAUACAUGAAUUGAAUAUUAUAUUGUUGUUUUAAUAUACCAAUACACUAUGCUUUGAUCAGGUAUGAAGGUCAACGCGACAUGUUGUACAAUCAGACAUUUAACUUCGAUCAAGUUUAAUUUGCUGCUGGGGGAAUUAAAGAUGCUCAACAAACUAUAAGGUUUCCACCAAGUCGAAGACAUUUAGGUCUCCGCAACGCAUGGCACACCGCAGAAUUAAGAAACUGUUGUCUUCUAAAUACUGGAAUGUCGCUCCAAAAUUGAAGUUAUGCCAACUGUCUAGAUCUGGUGCUGGCUGAAUCAGAUAUUAAACCAUGUUGCAUGACUGCUAAACCGAAAUAUUACGACUGUUGUACCGAAGGAUGCAGGGACUGAACUGAAUCAUACAGCUGCUGUACUUAAAGAUUUUCUGUAGAUUGAUUAAACACUUGAUUUCAAUGUUGAUGUUUCAACCUCUCUUCCCUUGAUGACUUAAAUUUCAGGAAAGAAGAAUUGUUAUGAAUUUUGGAUCAAUUGCUAAGAGACAAGGAUGAUAUAAUUAUGGCUACACCUUAUACAGGUUCUAUUUUGGAUCAAUUACUAAAAGACAAGGAUGAUUUUAGUUGUGUUUUCCUUAUCCAUAUUGAAUUAUAUAUCAAUUGCUAUAUCGAUAUUAUCUUUUGGGGCCUAUAUCAAGCUUAAAAGAUGUUGAUUAUAUACAGCUAACACGAAGAAUAUUGAAAGUAUUGCAAGAAUGGUUAGUGGAAAAGUAUCUUGAUUUUGUGGAAUCAAUAUGGCCACAUUAUUUUCGGAUGAUCAGAUUUUUGAUGUCGUCUAAUCUUAUUCGAGUUUGAAUGCAUUCUUAAAGGUACUGUUCAGGAGAGUUUAAGGGAGUUUGAUUGGAGGCGGUAUUCUAUAGCAUAGAAAUUUUCCAUUGAGAUGUAGUCAAUCACAUUUUAUCCUCUGGGGUUUGAGCAAGUUAAUGAUAAUGAGGAAACAAGUUCCUAAUUCAUGUUAUCUUGAAUUGAUUUUAUUCUUAGAUUAGGUUGGAAUUGAUUUUAUCAUUGAAUGGUUGCUUAGUUUUCAAGGUUUUAUAUAAGAUUGACAGUCGACUCAUACAACUGAGUUUUAAAAAAUCAAUUGACACAAUGCAGGAUGCAUUGUAGUGCUUUCAACAAUGGAAACAUUAUCGUAAAAGUCUUUGGUCAGUCGGUGCGGUUAAGAAAGCAGUGAUACAUUGACGUUUAAAGAGAAAAAGCUUUCAUGCAAGAAGAUUACAUGAGGAUGAAGUUGGCACCCAAGCAAGCAAAGGUAAUAUCUAAUUUUAUUCCAUCACUCAUAGAAAUAGGAGGAUUUGCUUUUGCACCACAUGUGCAUAUGGACAAGGAUUUUCCUUUGUAAUGUGAUAUUGUGAUGCGAUAUUGUGAUUUAUGAUGUAGCGUGACUAUAAUGUGACCAUAAUUGAGGUUGCACAGUUGUUAUUCUAUGCAAUAUCGAGAGCUGCGACCUCUGCUUCCAAUGCAUUCAGCAGAUUGGUUUUCACCUGGAACAAUGAAGAGAAAAAUGAAGAGGAUACAAGAUCUACAAGGCAGCAUAGUUCCUUCAAGCUAAGUGGGAUCAAUUCCCAUUAAAUCUAACUUAUGUGUUGGUAACCUCUAGGGGUAUCUGGACUAUGUCAACAGAAAAGCAAAAUUGAUAACAUCAGAGUAAGACUUCUUAAUAGUGUAAGUUCACAGGCAGGCUAAUGUUAGUCUCAAACUUUAUUUCUUUUUACACGAACACCACUUCUCAAAAACAAGGAACAAGAAAACUGCAGACUGCAUAAAUUCUUGAGAUUGAAUUGUGGCAUCGGAUACGCAACAAUCAUCAUCAGCAUCAUCAACAUCUUUAAAGGGUUUGAUGCAUUGGAGGUGUCUGCAGGGAACCGUUACCAUAACUGGAAGCACGCGUACAGCGGCAUUAUUGCAGCAUUGGGGGAUAUUGCGGUACUUUUAAAAGCUUACACAUGGAUCAUUGAGAUUGUAGCUGCACAUUAGAAUCUGAUAUUGAAGCUGCACAUGGAGCUCUAUGUAGCAUAAUUUGUACUCAGCCUAGAAGAAUAUCUGCUAUAUAUGUUUCUGAAAGAGUAGCGGCAUCCAUGAGCUAUUUUGUUAGCAUGCUUUUGGUUUAGAUUUUACAUUGUCAGUGGAGUAUACCUGAUAUAGUGGUGUGAAAAUUUUGAUCUCUUUUAUUUUCUCAUUAUUUGCUCUGUAAUGACUAUUUAUGCUCUACACGCCUGGAUCUGUUGGUUUUUCUCGAAAUUUGUAUGUAAUCAUUUCCUGCUUACUUUGCUGACAUUGUUUUUCAGUUUACGGUAGAACUUUUUAAUAACCACCAUUAUAGCUGCAGCGUGAAUUUUAACAAUAAUCCCCAACAUUGAA